AUGAAGCUGCCAGAACUGCCGUGGAUGUUCCUUCCUUCAAGCAGCACUCCGAUGUUUUUCGAACCUGUGACUCGGUGCCUGCACAAGAUCUGGCUUCCGGCUGCACUUAAGAGUGGGCGGCUGUGUGGGUCACGGGGGCCAUGGGUAUUCAUCAGUACUAAGGACCCGGAGCCACAAUUCACUCUAUACAACCUAUGCAAUGGAGAGAAGAGAGGUCGCAUUGACCUGCCGUUGACGAUACUGGACAAGCAAGGGGUGACUCGCUGCGCCAGGGUUGAGAUGGCAGCCCUCUCACUCCCCCCUUCAACCGCUGGGUACACGGUGGCUGCCGUGGUACACAUUGGCCAAUCCCUUGAUUACACCAUAGCGACGUGGGAGUUCAAGGAGGAUCACUGGACCGAGAUUGGGAGUGCAGCAGACAGGGUGCUGGACAUUUUGUUCUAUCAGGGCUCCUUCCACUUCCUCACGUCCAAUGAAGAUCUCAUCAGGCUUGUUCCGGAGGGCCCCUCCUUCAGAAUGGUGAGGUAUCAUGUUGAGUUACGCUCGAGCAAACCGCUGGAUGAUCUCUAUGAAGCUCAGGAUGGUACCAUGCUGAGGAGGUACCUGGUGGAGUCCACAGCAGGACAUCUUCUGUUUGCCGUGAAGAAGACUCAUUGUAGCAAGAGGACGGUUGAUAUCAAAGUUUUCCGUCUGUCUGUUGACGAUGCCGGCCAGGCCACAUGGGUCCACUACAAGAACACAGCGGGUGAAAUGAUUUACCUAGGUCAGGCUUCUUCCAUAUCAUGUGUCACUCAGUCUGAGCCCACUAUCCAUUUUCUUGAUGACCGUCUGGUGAAGAGCGAGGAUGAGGCGGAUCGCUACCACAGGAGGGACAUGGGAGGGUUGCGACCCCAUGUCCUCCAGGUUAGUUGGUACAGUUACCGAACACCAAACGAGGAAUCCAGGUUCAGCUAUCGAGCACCAGAUGACAUAGGAGCGACUGACGUACCAACACCGGUUUGGUGCGAGCCCCAGUCUGAUGGAUUUACCAUGUGA
rnacentral:rRNA from 1 species